AUUGAACGCUGGCGGCAUGCCUUACACAUGCAAGUCGAACGGCAGCACGGGAGCAAUCCUGGUGGCGAGUGGCGAACGGGUGAGUAAAGUAUCGGAACGUGCCCAGUCGUGGGGGAUAACGUAGCGAAAGUUACGCUAAUACCGCAUACGAUCUAUGGAUGAAAGCGGGGGAUCGCAAGACCUCGCGCGAUUGGAGCGGCCGAUAUCAGAUUAGGUAGUUGGUGGGGUAAAGGCUCACCAAGCCGACGAUCUGUAGCUGGUCUGAGAGGACGACCAGCCACACUGGGACUGAGACACGGCCCAGACUCCUACGGGAGGCAGCAGUGGGGAAUUUUGGACAAUGGGCGAAAGCCUGAUCCAGCAAUGCCGCGUGCAGGAUGAAGGCCCUCGGGUUGUAAACUGCUUUUGUACGGAACGAAAAGCCUGGGGCUAAUAUCCCCGGGUCAUGACGGUACCGUAAGAAUAAGCACCGGCUAACUACGUGCCAGCAGCCGCCGUAA
rnacentral:rRNA from 1 species